rnacentral:misc_RNA from 1 species
GUGAAAAUAUAAAAGUCUAUCCAUUAUCCAUUUUAUUAUGAGCAUAGCUCAACUAACAUCUAUUUGUACUAUCAAUCUUCAGGUAGUUCGAUUUCCCACCACACAUAUUUUUAAAAGAAAAAAGAAAUCUAAGCAUUAUUUAAAGAUCCUAGAAAAUUACAUAAAGAACCACAUAAUUUAUGCUCCUUGGUCGCAUCAGGAGAGAG